rnacentral:rRNA from 1 species
ACGCUCGACACCUACGGAAGGCAGCAGUGGGGAAUAUUGCACAAUGGGGGAAACCCUGAUGCAGCGACGCCGCGUGAGUGAAGAAGUAAUUCGUUAUGUAAAGCUCUAUCAGCAGGGAAGAAAGUGACGGUACCUGAGUAAGAAGCCCCGGCUAACUACGUGCAAGCAGCCGCGGUAAUCUGAGCGGGCUGGCAAGGC